UUGUCUUCAGGGCGGGGUGCAAGUCCCCACCGGCGGUAAAAGUCCGCGAGCGCAAGCUGAACCGGUGUGAUUCCGGUACCGACAGUACAGUCUGGAUGGAAGAAGACA
rnacentral:ncRNA from 1 species